rnacentral:rRNA from 1 species
AGGGGUAGCUUGCUACCCGCUGACGAGCGGCGGACGGGUGAGUAAUGCAUAGGAAUCUGCCCGAUAGUGGGGGAUAACCUGGGGAAACCCAGGCUAAUACCGCAUACGUCCUACGGGAGAAAGGGGGCUUCGGCUCCCGCUAUUGGAUGAGCCUAUGUCGGAUUAGCUAGUUGGUGAGGUAAUGGCUCACCAAGGCGACGAUCCGUAGCUGGUCUGAGAGGAUGAUCAGCCACAUCGGGACUGAGACACGGCCCGAACUCCUACGGGAGGCAGCAGUGGGGAAUAUUGGACAAUGGGGGGAACCCUGAUCCAGCCAUGCCGCGUGUGUGAAGAAGGCCCUCGGGUUGUAAAGCACUUUCAGCGAGGAAGAACGCCUAGUGGUUAAUACCCAUUAGGAAAGACAUCACUCGCAGAAGAAGCACCGGCUAACUCCGUGCCAGCAGCCGCGGUAAUACGGAGGGUGCAAGCGUUAAUCGGAAUUACUGGGCGUAAAGCGCGCGUAGGUGGCUUGAUAAGCCGGUUGUGAAAGCCCCGGGCUCAACCUGGGAACGGCAUCCGGAACUGUCAGGCUAGAGUGCAGGAGAGGAAGGUAGAAUUCCCGGUGUAGCGGUGAAAUGCGUAGAGAUCGGGAGGAAUACCAGUGGCGAAGGCGGCCUUCUGGACUGACACUGACACUGAGGUGCGAAAGCGUGGGUAGCAAACAGGAUUAGAUACCCUGGUAGUCCACGCCGUAAACGAUGUCGACCAGCCGUUGGGUGCCUAGAGCACUUUGUGGC